rnacentral:rRNA from 1 species
UACGUAGGGGGCUAGCGUUGUCCGGAUUUCUUGGGCGUAAAGAGCUCGUAGGCGGCUCGGUAAGUCGGAUGUGAAACCUCCAGGCUCAACCUGGAGACGCCAUCUGAUACUGCCGUGGCUUGAGUCCGGUAGAGGAGCAGGGAAUUCCUGGUGUAGCGGUGAAAUGCGCAGAUAUCAGGAGGAACACCAGCGGCGAAGGCGCUGCUCUGGGCCGGUACUGACGCUGAGGAGCGAAAGCGUGGGGAGCGAACAGG